rnacentral:rRNA from 1 species
UACGUAGGGUCCGAGCGUUGUCCGGAAUUAUUGGGCGUAAAGGGCUCGUAGGCGGUUUGUCGCGUCGGGAGUGAAAACACCAGGCUUAACUUGGUGCUUGCUUUCGAUACGGGCAGACUUGAGGCAUGCAGGGGGAGAACGGAAUUCCUGGUGUAGCGGUGAAAUGACGCAGAUAUCAGGAGGAACACCGGUGGCGAAGGCGGUUCUCUGGGCAUGUUCUGACGCUGAGGAGCGAAAGUGUGGGGAGCGAACAGG